CGUACAGGUCUCCGUAGGUGAACCUGCGGAGGGAUCAUUACAAGAACGCCCGGGCUACGGCCUGGUUAUUCAUAACCCUUUGUUGUCCGACUCUGUUGCCUCCGGGGCGACCCUGCCUUCGGGCGGGGGCUCCGGGUGGACACUUCAAACUCUUGCGUAACUUUGCAGUCUGAGUAAACUUAAUUAAUAAAUUAAAGCUUUUAACAACGGAUCUCUUGGUUCUGGCAUCGAUGAAGAACGCAGCGAAAUGCGAUAAGUAAUGUGAAUUGCAGAAUUCAGUGAAUCAUCGAAUCUUUGAACGCACAUUGCGCCCCCUGGUAUUCCGGGGGGCAUGCCUGUUCGAGCGUCAUUUCACCACUCAAGCCUCGCUUGGUAUUGGGCAACGCGGUCCGCCGCGUGCCUCAAAUCGUCCGGCUGGGUCUUCUGUCCCCUAAGCGUUGUGGAAACUAUUCGCUAAAGGGUGUUCGGGAGGCUACGCCGUAAAACAACCCCAUUUCUAAGGUUGACCUCGGAUCAGGUAGGGAUACCCGCUGAACUUAAGCA
rnacentral:rRNA from 1 species